GAGCCGGUAAAACUCGUGCCAGCCACCGCGGUUAUACGAGAGGCCCAAGUUGACAGACUCCGGCGUAAAGAGUGGUUAGGGAAAUUUUUAAACUAAAGCCGAACGUCCUCAGAGCAGUUCAACGCUUCCGAGUUAAGAAGACCUAUUACGAAAGUAGCUUUACCAAACCUGACCCCACGAAAGCUGUGGCACAAACUGGGAUUAGAUACCCCACUAUGCUCAGCCCUAAAAUUUGAUAGACCAUCACACACCUAUCCGCCCGGGUACUACGAGCACUAGCUUAAAACCCAAAGGACUUGGCGGUGCUUCAUAUCCGUCUAGAGGAGCCUGUUCUAUAACCGAUACCCCCCGUUAAACCUCACCCUCUCUUGUUAAUACCGCCUAUAUACCGCCGUCGUCAGCCCACCCUGUGAAGGACUAGAAGUGCGCGAGAUUGGUAAAACCCAAAACGUCAGGUCGAGGUGUAGUGUAUGAGAGGGGAAGAAAUGGGCUACAUUUCCUAAAAUAGGAAAUACGAACAAUGGACUGAAAUAACCAUUAGAAGGUGGAUUUAGCAGUAAGCAGGAAAACAGAGAGUUCUGCUGAAAUUCACGGCACUAAAGCACGCACACACCGCCCGU
rnacentral:rRNA from 1 species